rnacentral:rRNA from 1 species
UACGUAGGGUGCGAGCGUUAAUCGGAAUUACUGGGCGUAAAGCGUGCGCAGGCGGUCUUUUAAGCCAGAUGUGAAAUCCCCGGGCUUAACCUGGGAACUGCAUUUGGAACUGGGAGACUAGAGUGCGUCAGAGGGGGGUGGAAUUCCACGUGUAGCAGUGAAAUGCGUAGAGAUGUGGAGGAACACCGAUGGCGAAGGCAGCCCCCUGGGAUGACACUGACGCUCAUGCACGAAAGCGUGGGGAG